AUGGAUAGUAUUUCGUCUGAAUCAGACUCUGAAACUGAUUCAGACACAAUACUAUCCAUUAAACCGCCCCCCCCCCAGGAGUGGGAUAGGUAAAAUCCAAAUCUGGUAAAAUUUUGGCCUAUUUAGUAAAAUUUUAGCAAAGGUUUAGUAAAAUCUGCUAACAAUCAUCUGGUCGCACUUGGCCUAGGUAUAGGCUGCCAUACAGAGAAUGCAGGGAUCCUUACAUGUUUAUAUACCUUGCUUAUGUUACUCUGUGAUCGAGGGUAUCGAUCAUUAUGGAUAAAUUAUCUCCAUGGAAUGAUAUCCCCUCCAUUAAAACAUCAUCAUAUUGAAUAUUGAUAAUACUGCAUGUGUCUAAUGUGUAUUUCUUCUGCAUUUUGCAGUUUGGAGAUGAUGAAGACGAAGUGGCAACCUUAUCUAAACAUCAUUUAUAAAUUUUGAAAUUGUUCGUUGGAACAGGCAGAAUUGGUCUUAGCACACAAGGAGAUAUUUAUUGCUACAGAGUAAAAACUACAUAUUCAUGGUACCAACUGGAGGAUAUGCAGAGUUCAUUAACUUUCUUCUUUUCGCAUAUAAUAUUUGUAAUAUGCAACAUCCCACUGAAUGUCCUAAUAUUUACAUAUUCAUGCAGCAAAAACUUCUCCAGGUAUUUGAUAAUUAAGUGAAGGUAACUUAUGAUACUUAUGGCAAAACUAUUUAAAAGCACAUAGUCAAAACUCAAGAUUCAUGUCGAUUUUUUCACACAAUAUUUUAACAGCACCAUAAGAG